UCGCAGUACGCUUUGAAAAACCGCUUAGAAUAACCGCUCAGUUUAACCGCAAAAUACGUCGACCGCUUUGUUUCUCGGACUUCUCCGGUAUUCUGGGAUUCUAUAAAGGUAUCGUGGCAUCCUACAUAGGCAUAAGUGAGACUGUGAUACACUUUGUGAUAUACGAAGCAGUGAAAGCAUAGCUAGCCACGCACAGAUCACGAGCUUCCCAGGCAGAUGACAGGAAGACGUUCCGCAAUUUCAUUGAAUUUAUGGCGUCUGGAUCGUUUUCGAAAACGAUAGCAUCAACAGUUGCCUAUCCUCACGAAGUAGCAGCAAGAACCCGAUUAUGAGAAGAAGGUACGAAAUAUCGCGCGUUCUGGCAAACUCUGAGCACUGUAUGGGCAGAGGAGGGCACAAAAAGUCUCUACCGUGGCCUCGGUACCCAGUUGAUCCGGCAAAUUCCAAACACUGCCAUCAUAAUGGCAACGUACGAAGCGGUGGUAUAUGUGUUGACACGACAUUUCCGACCCGUUACGGUAACGACGUAGUACCAAUGCGGCAUCGGAAUUUUAUAGUGAGGCUAACAAUAAGACGAAAAGGCAAUUGGCCUAGGACUUGCUUACGGCCCCCGAGUAAAGGGCCAUCCACCAUCAAUCGUUUUUCUCUUCUGCGGCAGACGAAUAUCGCGCGUAUUCUCGGGGUACCAUCCUAAUAUCUAAUCUUACAUCUAGAUGCAACAAGAGAGCAGCUCGACCUUGGAAACAUGCUCGAUGUCAUAAUCGUUGCUCCUGGGGUACUCAAAAAGGAACCAGCGCAUUGAUUGCACUGUGCUUUAAAAGUAUAGCAAAAAGUAGUCCUUCCUCCUUUCAGGUAGCAUGUACGUACCGGAGAUGGACCCGGUGUAUCUUGCAGGAAAAGAAAGAGAGAGGUGAAAUUAGGAAAAGCGGAUGUUGUUUAAUAAUGUCGCAUAGACAUUAGGAAGCUGAGACUUCGCUUCUCGCGAAAUCGUGGCUACAUAUGAAUGCGGAAUAAAGGCUUGUAUUAUCAGAUUUAUUCGACAGAUUAUUUUUUGUUCUAAAAGCCGAAAAACUCCAGAAAUCUCUGAAAGCAGAAUGUGUGAUGCUAUAAUAGUCAUUGUAAAUUUUAGAUGUCUGACGGGUUUUGCUUUCGGUACUAUUCUUCAUUUUAUAAUUUGCAGUUUUUUUUCUCUCUUCAUCUUGUAUGCUAUCUCUUUUUCACAUCUUUGUAUGCUAUCUCUUUUAUUUAUAAGAAUAAAAUUAAAGAUGAAAAAAAGACACAAGAUUGCAGAUUUGCUAUGCAAAAUACUUGUUAUUAGAUAAUGCUUGAUAGACAACAUAUAUAAUAGCAAUUUUCGAUUUUGUGAAUUAUACUAGAUGUUUUCAUCAAGUUGUUUCAAAGGUGUCAUUAUACAAUAUUUUCAUUAAAAAUCAAUUAUCUAAACUGAUUCUGGUCGUGCAAACAAUAUAAAUCCACUCG